AUGAACGCUGGCGGCGUGCCUAAUACAUGCAAGUCGAGCGAACAGACGAGGAGCUUGCUCCUCUGACGUUAGCGGCGGACGGGUGAGUAACACGUGGAUAACCUACCUAUAAGACUGGGAUAACUUCGGGAAACCGGAGCUAAUACCGGAUAAUAUAUUGAACCGCAUGGUUCAAUAGUGAAAGACGGUUUUGCUGUCACUUAUAGACGGAUCCGCGCCGCAUUAGCUAGUUGGUAAGGUAACGGCUUACCAAGGCAACGAUGCGUGGCCGACCUGAGAGGGUGAUCGGCCACACUGGAACUGAGACACGGUCCAGACUCCUACGGGAGGCAGCAGUAGGGAAUCUUCCGCAAUGGGCGAAAGCCUGACGGAGCAACGCCGCGUGAGUGAUGAAGGUCUUCGGAUCGUAAAACUCUGUUAUUAGGGAAGAACAAAUGUGUAAGUAACUAUGCACGUCUUGACGGUACCUAAUCAGAAAGCCACGGCUAACUACGUG
rnacentral:rRNA from 1 species